GACAAAGUUCCAGCAAAAGAGUUCCAGCAAAGUGUUAACUCCUUUGUGCCCAGGGCAGAGAGUAGUGGCUCUUCUAAUACCUACUGAACCUGUUAUAAGCCCUCCAGAGGGUAGAUGCGCAUAUACCACAGAUCAAAAAUUCAAACGCCCUGCCUUCUCUGCAGCCAGAACCAAGCACAGCUUGCAGAUGGGUAUUCUGGGAGUUGAGAUUCACAGAUGGACCUACAGUAGUAGGUCCCCUCUUCCCCAGGUGAUUGGAUGAGACGUGGGCACCUGAGCUCCAGACAGCCAAUCCAUAGGCUGACCUGCCCACCUCAGUGUGGUCCAGAUUGAGGAUGGGAGCCAGCUAAUCAAGGUGAUACUUCCUGGAAUUGGAACAGGGGAAACACGGAGAGGUUGAGCUGGUUAACAGCUGGGCCAGAAGGUAAAAGGGUGCCACAGGUUAAUGCCUGGGGCCAGCAGAAAUUGUGAGGGAGCGGUGCCAAAAGUAAAGAGAAAUAAAGCAAUCAGCAGAGAGGAGGCUGGAACAGACACAAAGGGUGAAGAUGUGCCAUGAGGGAGGCCUUGCAGCUCAGCGGAGAGACAGAGAAAGACCUUCUGCUUCUGGGGACUGCUUUGGUUUCUGGCAGCCUUUCAGAUGCAGGAUGAAGCCUGAAAAAGGUUCCCUGGGGCACUGGUGGGAUUAUUUUCCCUUGGGACCCAACAAGAGCCUGAACAAUGGUGGACAUUCCUGGUCCUGUAGGUGGAAGCUGAGGUUCCCAUGGAAGGCUCUUUGUGAAGAUGUGAUGAGGCAUCCCUCCUAUGCUCCUUAGUGAUGUCACGUCACUGCUUUUCUCAUCAAGAAGUGAUGUCCUCUCUCUCUCCUGGAAUCCCAGCUUGGAGACGCGCCUUGUUUUGGCCAGUGGUCCAUUCGCAAAUGUGGUGCAAGCAGAGGCUUGAAACCCUCCUUUGUGUGAGAUUUGCCCUCUCUCUGGUUGUGGUUGGAGUGGAAACGAGGAUGUGAGUGAGCCUGAGCUCAUCUCCUGAAGAGCCCACAUGGAAAACUGAAGCAUCCCAGCCUGAAGAUUGACAACUGCUAGUUGCGUGUAUGAAGACAUCUUAGCCUGUCCAGCCCGAAUCAGACCACCAGAUGACUGCAGCUGUGUGAGAGACCCUAGGCAAUACCACCAGCAGGGCCCCCAAUGAACCCAGCCACAUUGUUAACCAGCAAAAUCAUGAGCCAGGAAAAUGGUUGUCAUUUUAAGCCACUAAAUUUGGGGUCGUUUGCUGCAGAGAAUGGCGGAUACCUGAAAUACAGCCCCUAUGUAGCCAAGGCUCCCACACCCCCAAGCAUAGAGUCAGCCCCUGAGGGCAGACUCCUGGUGACUCUUAGGAGUGUGUGGCAGAAGCUGUGGUCUCCCAUAACCGUCCUGCCCUUUAUCUUUUUAGUAAUGGAACUUUUUAGUAACGGCACAAGUCCACCCAACUAGGAACUAUCUUUCCUGGUCUUCCUUGCCACUAAGUGUGACCACAUUUUUCACCAGUAGAAUGGAAUGAAAGGGA
ensembl:lncRNA